rnacentral:rRNA from 1 species
UAGAGUUUGAUCCUGGCUCAGGAUGAACGCUAGCGACAGGCUUAACACAUGCAAGUCGAGGGGCAGCGGGGGUGAUGGCUUGCCAUCACCUGCCGGCGACCGGCGCACGGGUGAGUAACACGUAUGCAACCUGCCCGCCACAGGGGGAUAAGCGGAAGAAAUUCCGUCUAAUACCGCGUGACGCGGCGUCGGGGCAUCCCGGUGCCGCCAAAGGGAUUACCGGUGGCGGAUGGGCAUGCGGCGCAUUAGCUAGUCGGCGGGGUAACGGCCCACCGAGGCGACGAUGCGUAGGGGUUCUGAGAGGAAGGUCCCCCACACUGGUACUGAGACACGGACCAGACUCCUACGGGAGGCAGCAGUGAGGAAUAUUGGUCAAUGGCCGGAAGGCUGAACCAGCCAAGUCGCGUGAGGGAAUAAGGCCCUACGGGUCGUAAACCUCUUUUGCCAGGGAGCAAUGCCGUCCACGUGUGGACGGAAGGAGAGUACCUGGAGAAAAAGCAUCGGCUAACUCCGUGCCAGCAGCCGCGGUAAUACGGAGGAUGCGAGCGUUAUCCGGAUUUAUUGGGUUUAAAGGGUGCGUAGGCGGCCUGCCAAGUCAGCGGUAAAAUUGCGGGGCUCAACCCCGUACAGCCGUUGAAACUGCCGGGCUCGAGUGGGCGAGAAGUAUGCGGAAUGCGUGGUGUAGCGGUGAAAUGCAUAGAUAUCACGCAGAACCCCGAUUGCGAAGGCAGCAUACCGGCGCCCGACUGACGCUGAGGCACGAAAGUGCGGGGAUCAAACAGGAUUAGAUACCCUGGUAGUCCGCACAGUAAACGAUGAAUGCUAGCUGUCCGGGGGGAUUGACCCCUGGGUGGCACAGCGAAAGCGUUAAGCAUUCCACCUGGGGAGUACGCCGGCAACGGUGAAACUCAAAGGAAUUGACGGGGGCCCGCACAAGCGGAGGAACAUGUGGUUUAAUUCGAUGAUACGCGAGGAACCUUACCCGGGCUCAAACGCCGAAGGGACAUUCCCCGAAAGGGGAUUGGCCAGCAAUGGUCUUCGGCGAGGUGCUGCAUGGUUGUCGUCAGCUCGUGCCGUGAGGUGUCGGCUUAAGUGCCAUAACGAGCGCAACCCCCACCGACAGUUGCUAACUGGUCAAGCAGAGGACUCUGUCGGGACUGCCGGCGCAAGCUGCGAGGAAGGCGGGGAUGACGUCAAAUCAGCACGGCCCUUACGUCCGGGGCGACACACGUGUUACAAUGGCAGGUACAGCGGGAUGCCAUGGGGCGACCCAGAGCGGAACCCGAAAACCUGUCUCAGUUCGGAUUGGAGUCUGCAACCCGACUCCAUGAAGCUGGAUUCGCUAGUAAUCGCGCAUCAGCCACGGCGCGGUGAAUACGUUCCCGGGCCUUGUACACACCGCCCGUCAAGCCAUGGGAGCCGGGGGUGCCUGAAGGCCGUGACCGCGAGGAGCGGCCUAGGGUAAAACUGGUGACUGGGGCUAAGUCGUAAUCAAGGUAGCCGUAA